UGUUCGAAAGGGAAACAGCCCAGACCACCAGCUAAGGUCCCAAAAUAUAUGUUAAGUGGAAAAGGAUGUGGCGUUGCCCAGACAACUAGGAUGUUGGCUUAGAAGCAGCCAUCAUUUAAAGAGUGCGUAAUAGCUCACUAGUCGAGUGACACUGCGCCGAAAAUGUACCGGGGCUAAACAUAUUACCGAAGCUGUGGAUUGUCCUUUGGACAAUGGUAGGAGAGCGUUCUAAGGGCGUUGAAGCAUGAUCGUAAGGACAUGUGGAGCGCUUAGAAGUGAGAAUGCCGGUGUGAGUAGCGAAAGACGGGUGAGAAUCCCGUCCACCGAUUGACUAAGGUUUCCAGAGGAAGGCUCGUCCGCUCUGGGUUAGUCGGGUCCUAAGCUGAGGCCGACAGGCGUAGGCGAUGGAUAACAGGUUGAUAUUCCUGUACCACCUAUAAUCGUUUUAAUCGAUGGGGGGACGCAGUAGGAUAGGCGAAGCGUGCGAUUGGAUUGCACGUCUAAGCAGUAAGGCUGAGUAUUAGGCAAAUCCGGUACUCGUUAAGGCUGAGCUGUGAUGGGGAGAAGACAUUGUGUCUUCGAGUCGUUGAUUUCACACUGCCGAGAAAAGCCUCUAGAUAGAAAAUAGGUGCCCGUACCGCAAACCGACACAGGUAGUCAAGAUGAGAAUUCUAAGGUGAGCGAGCGAACUCUCGUUAAGGAACUCGGCAAAAUGACCCCGUAACUUCGGGAGAAGGGGUGCUCUUUAGGGUUAACGCCCAGAAGAGCCGCAGUGAAUAGGCCCAAGCGACUGUUUAUCAAAAACACAGGUCUCUGCUAAACCGUAAGGUGAUGUAUAGGGGCUGACGCCUGCCCGGUGCUGGAAGGUUAAGAGGAGUGGUUAGCUUCUGCGAAGCUACGAAUCGAAGCCCCAGUAAACGGCGGCCGUAACUAUAACGGUCCUAAGGUAGCGAAAUUCCUUGUCGGGUAAGUUCCGACCCGCACGAAAGGCGUAACGAUUUGGGCACUGUCUCAACGAGAGACUCGGUGAAAUCAUAGUACCUGUGAAGAUGCAGGUUACCCGCGACAGGACGGAAAGACCCCGUGGAGCUUUACUGUAGCCUGAUAUUGAAAUUCGGCACAGCUUGUACAGGAUAGGUAGGAGCCUUUGAAACGUGAGCGCUAGCUUACGUGGAGGCGCUGGUGGGAUACUACC
rnacentral:rRNA from 1 species